GGUCACGUGGUCAGGAGAGCACCUCGCAGCUCCGCCCACUGGCGUUGACCCGCCCACUGGCGUUGACCCGCCACCCAAGCCCACAGGCGCCGAAGCAGCCGAAGGGGAGUGCGCGUGCGCGUGAGGCGGACUGCGGGAACCCGGGCUUGCUAGUGGCUCUGGUGGCCCCGCCAGCAGCUCUGGCUGCGGCCAGCACGCACCCGGCACGAGAGGCUGGCUCUGGCCGCAGCUCUUGCUGGGCGCCAUGGCGCCCUUCUGGGAUGGAAGAAAACUGUCAGGUACUAACUCGACAAUGACUGCCCUCGGUAAUCAACCACUCGUGUUUCCUGGUAAAUUGGAUGGAAAGAGGAUGUCCAGGAAAUGAGAGGCUGUGGAUUCAUUCUAAGCUAAGAAAAAACAUAUUUGAUCACGGAAGACCCUCUGAAGAAUCUCUCAUAGAAGCGAGUGGCCCAGAUGUCUGAGUUCUACAUCCAGAACAGAUUCAAGACUGCUGCCUGAGAUGAUCAAGACUCACAGGACUUGAUCAUAAUACUAAAUUUUCUUUAGGUCCCCAUAAGAUUAUCAGUGCCCCUAAUCAGCGGGAAGUAGCCUGGAAAACUAUGCCCACAUUCCCCAAAAUGGAUUCUGGAUGUCUGCCUUUGUUUAAAAUGUUGGUUACAAGUUAUUAUGGAUAAUGGUCAGGAGAAAAGCUAAACAAAGAAGAUUCCAUUCAGAGUUCUUGUUUUGUUUUUAUUUUUUUAAGGGGGAGGAGAAGUGCUCUGGGGCAAUGGUCUGUACCCUGCCACUUGUAUUUUAAAUAAACCCUGAUUGGUCAGUAGCCAGGCAGGACGUAUAGGCAGGGUGACCAGGCAGGAAGUAGAGGCGGGGCAAUGAGAACAAGAGAAUUCUGGGAGAAGGAAAGAGUCAGUCUAUAGUCAUCACACAGACACAGAGCAAGCAAGAUGUGACUGCCUCUCUGAAAAAGGUACCAAGCCCCACGUGGCUAAAACAGACAAGAAUUAUGGGCUAAUAUAAGUUAUAAGAGUUAAUAAGAAGCCUGAGCUAAUGGGCUAAUCAGCUUAUAUAUAAUUAAUGUAGACCUCUGUGUGUUUCUUUGGGACUGAAUGGCUGCAGGAUCAGGUGGAACAGAAACCUUGGUCAACAGCUUUGCUUUCCCUUAUAUUUAUAGUAAGCCUCCUCCAUCAUACCUGGGAGCAUUCAUGUCCUUCCUUUUAUUUCUUGUUUUCUUUCAGUACUCAGCUGUUCCCUUAGAAGGAUCUGAUGAAUCCACACUGCUGCUGCAGGGCUCUCAAGGAAGAGUCACCACUUCACCGAGGAAGGCUUCAUUUCCCAUUUCUGUGAAUUGGUUUUCUUCCAAGCCAACAGCUGCUCUGUUCUUCUAGAGGUCCUGAGUUCAACUUCCAGAGACCAUAUGGUAGCUUAUAACCAUCUGUAAUGGGUUUGGAUGCUCUCUUCUGGCGUGCAGACAUACUUGCAAACAAAGCACUCAUAUCCAUAAGCAAAUAAAGCUUUUUUAAAAAGCCAAACAUGAUGGCAUAUGCCUUGAGAGGCAGAGUCAGGUGGGUCUCUAUGAGCUCCAAGCCAGACUGGUUUACAUAAUGAGUUCCAGGACAGCCUGUCUCUAAAGCAAAGAGAAACAAAUCCAAACCUUACACAGGAAGUUUCGAGAAAUGGCUAGCAGUUAAGAGUGCUUGCUGCUCUUGCAGAGGAUCUAAGUUCACUUCCCAGCACCCACAUCCAGUGGCUCACAACCACCUGUAACUCCAACUCCAGGACUCUCUUCUGUCUUCCAUGGGCAACUGUGCAUGCAUAAAU